UCACCUUAUCCACCCCAUCCUCCAUCGCGGGAUCCCCUCUCCGGCGAUCCGCCGUGCCGCUGCUUGCCAUCAGCGUCCACGCCGCACGAACAAAGGAAUGGAAGGCAUCGGUGCGCCUCUUGCCGUCGGCGUCCUGCCGCAGCAUCCAAGAAAAUGGCGAGGCGGCGCAGACGGCCUCCUUCAUCCCAGGCGGCCCUCUCUCGCGAGGUUUAAACGGAUGGGUGAUGCUUGGUAUAUUCUUUUGUGUCAAUCUGAACAAACAUGGAGGGACGAGCAGGCUUCAGUUCAUUGUGACUCCAUGAACGGAGUUCAACUACUCUGAAAAAGCUGUCCGCCAGCAGGGCAGCGCACGCAGAAUCUGCUCGGAUGGCGCGAUGGCGGUCGUGAGUGAAGUGCACGGUGGCCACCGGCUAUAGAGGAAGAGAGCAGAAUAGAUGGCGCGGCUUAGAGGUCCUUCAUCUAAAGUGACUAAAACAGGUUGGUGAGGUACUUUUACUCCCGCUGCCAGGACACUGGAAACAAUAAUUUGUCUAUCUACUGCCCAUGCAAAGAUGAAACUGAGACAUGAGGUUCUGAAAAUUGAUGUUGGGGCUGCACUGCAAGUUCUGAAUUUUGCAAUAUUCCAUAAGGAAUUGACUGACAUGGAAGACCGUGAGCAGAGGGAGACUGAGAAACAACAAGAUGCAGGUGCAGGUGGUGAUAACGUAGAUGGGCCUGGAGGAGCAAGUGGUGGCAAUGACGUGCAUGGAAGGUGAGUUUACAGCUUUAUGAAGUGUUAAGUGUUCUAUUCCCUCUGGCUGGAAAUAAGUGAUGUACGCCACUUAUUUCUGAUAGGAGGGAGUAUUAAUUAAGAUCUGAAUCGUCCUUUUUAACAUUGAAAUGGUCCUCCCUCCAUUGGACUUUCCGAGAAAGUAGUCUGUCUCUAUUCAACUACUCCUGGAAAUUUUUGUUAGAUAAUUUAACUCCAUCCAGCUCCAUUGAUGUACUGGAAUGAAUGUUAAAUGAAGAUUAAUAAUGCCACAUAUUAGGAUAUUUUUUGUUGACAUGCAAUCCAAUCCCUCGUUGGUUGGCGGUCAAUUUGUUACUGCAUUGAUGCCAUAUUAAGGAUAGAUGUCAUCGCUAAGAUAGUAUACCAUGCUGUAGUUUCGACUGUUGACGAUGUAGUAACACGACGACGGUGAUUUCCCAUUGCAAAGCCUUUUGAACACUCGAGAUUGUUGAAGCAUGUUGAUAUCGUUGUGAGAACCCGGCAUUCGAAAGAAAGCAUGCCAAAUUCAUAAGUCAUGUGGCAUCGCGCGAGCGGAGGGGAUGAACGGCAAGGGGCGGCCACCAUUGAAGGUACAUCGAGAGCUCAACUACACAAGGAAUGGAAGGGACGGGGUGGCCACCAUUGGAAUGGGGGGGGGGGGGGUUGACGGGGACAAAGUGAAGAGAUAAGGGCAACUUUUUUUUCUUUGAGAAGAAGAUGAGGAGAACUUUUUUUUUUAAAAGAAGAUGAGGAAAGUGCUUCGGAGGACGCGCUUUGUGUCUCGUGUGGAGGCUUGGUGCCUACGCUCAGAGCAGCUCACUCGCAAGAGCUUAGCAAGUUGUGCAAAAAAAAAUAACAUAUAUAUUGUUUAAUUUAUUUUUUGAAAAUAUGUUGUACACCAAAAUGCUAUUACCCAUAAAAAAACAUUAUUACCACUCAAUAAAAAUGAUAUUUAUUAUUAAAAAACUAAUUCAAUUUUUAUGUAAGCAUUACAUUAUAUUUUAAAACUUUAAAAGAAACUCCUUUCAUCCAAAAAAUAGAUGUCUUAAUUUAACAUUGUAAUUUACAUUUAACAUUUAAUGACAAAAUAAAUAGGUUCUGCACUUUUUUCUAGCCCGGUGCAACGCACGGGCAUUUGUAUUAGUAGACUAUUCUCGGACAAAUUAAAUGACACCCUGGAGAUCAGAAGUUUGCAUUGAUCAGAAGUUUGCAUUGACUAGAGCCUUCCCAGAAAACUGCCUUCCGCAUCUAAACGAGGCUAUAGAUACAUCCAUAGAUCCACCAAAAACAACACAACUACGUCUAUACAUUCAUAUGCUUCAUGCUUGCUUGCACGGAGCUCAUGCAUGCAGCUCUCAAGACGACCGUAGGCGCACGUUCAUGCAGGGACAGCGCUGGGAACAGUGGAUGAGGCAGAGCCCUUCGAGUUCCAUGCACAACUCGCACUCCGGCCCACGGUGUCCGCACGAGGCCUCGCAGCUGCAGGAGGCCGGACAGCGCAGCUGCUGCAUACAGCGCUCGCAGUCCCCGGCAGCCGCCGCCGCCACGACGUGCACGGCUAGCAGGAUGCAGACGGCGGCGACAGCGACGGCCACCUUAGCGGCAGCGGCGGCACCGGCGCCGCCGGGAGCCAUUGUUAUUGGCCGGAGAUCGGGCAAGCGAAUUCACAAUUCACAAAGCUAGCUAAUAGAAAGGUGCUACCGUUCGAGUGGUGCGGAUCGACGGAUGAACUAGCAGAUGUUAUUUAUAGCUGGCCAACAUACAUGAUGCAUCAGAGAUGCAUCCAACAGAGGGCACCAAGCACCAUGCGCCGGUAACGUGAAUGCGCAUGUGGAAGUAGACUCGAGCUGCGUUCCUCAUGCGUAAAGUACUAAUUUGUUUGCCGCGAUUAGGAUGUUAUGUAGAUUAUCUGUGGAUUAUCAUGAUUCUGCUUGUCUGGCUGCUAGUAAGUUCCUGAGUCAACUGGCUGCUAGUUGUUUUCUCUGCAUGAACAUCUAGCUGCUAGUUAGCCAACAUGAAGAACGAAUCUCUACUUCUAAAGAGCAGUCCGUACGUCAGUUUCGUUCGUUCGUAACCAGCCCCCACCAAUGGUUAGAAACCAAAGAUGCUAGACCUACUAAAUCCUACUUAUAUUUACUAAACAUUUCAACUAAUCUAAACAUGCCCCCUGAUUUUCAGGGGUGGGUGGGCCUCAUCCUCCUCUUAAUCCAAUCAAUUAUUGACAAAUCAAACUACAUACGUAAACAUUUACGUAGAUAUAGCAUUGCUUGUUAGAAACCCCUGACCGAUUUUUUUUCCUCCCUCCAAAAUCCACCACCUGUUUUCCCAUGCCCAAAAAAACAUCUAGUAACAUACAAAACAGCAAUCUACCAAACAUUCCAUAUAAACCAGCAAUCAUAUGUCAAUCAUAUCGAACACCAAUUUCUUUUCACUUUCCGUCUCACACCUCCCAUGUCAAAAAAAAUUUCAUAUACAACACCAAUCGCAUCCCAAUCAUCCCAAACAUCAAUCGACCACCAAUUUCUUUCCACUUUCCGUCACACACUUUCCGUGCCAAAAAAAUGAACUUUCCAUCAUGCAAUUAAUGAUACAAUCCGUUGAUUGCUUACCACAUGGUGUUGUUGAUGGCCCAAGAUAUUGUAUCAUGAGAUUUGGAAAUGAUAUUAAUUAAAACAUGCAAUUAAUGAUACAAUCUGCUGCUUCCAUCUAUGAUACUAUGCAAUCAGUAGUUGUGAUUUGCCUAAUCUCUACUAUUAAAGGGGGAUGUGCCGUCGUGAUGGUUCGACCAGAGCGAUGGUUCGACCUCUCGAUCCCACCUCCCCACUUUCUCCCGCUACCACUUCCACCGAUUUUUAUCAUCCCUUCGUAAACCAGGCGAUUAAAUAAAAAAAAAACCUUUGUCCGAUCCUUCUAUCCACGCCCAUAAAAAACCAAUAGAAAGGGGGGAAAUCCCACCACCCAUGAACGCACGUCCCACUUCUGCGCACCCAUCUCCCCGACCCGAUCGCUCCAGCCUCCAGAUCACGUCUCUCUCCUCGCGGUUACAUACUGAAGCCAAAUUAGACUGGAUCGAUGGAUCCAAGCCCUUCCAUCUCAUCGUUCUUCACCGAGUCCAGGAGGAUCUCGACGCGCGAAGGGAGACGAGUAGGAGCGCCGUGUCCUCCGGCAGCGAUGAAGGAGGCCCAGGUAACCCUAUCUCCCUACCCUCUCUCCAACCCAUCUUCUCCCUGUAGCCUGUACUGGCGCAUCCACACGUUCUCCUCUCCCAUAUGGCAUGGACCGGCGAGUGGCAACGGGUGGCGGUAGACCGGCUGGUGGCGCAACGGACGGCGGGACACCGACUGGUAGGUGGCGGCGCAACGGACAGCGGGAGAUUGGUUGCUGGCAUCGGAUGGCGGGAGGCGCUAGGGAUCGUGGGAGGAGCAGGUAGCUCUAGCCUGUCGUCGGUGGAAGCUUGACCGCUAGGAUGCAGGAAGAGGGUGGGAGCGUGGUGCGCGAUUGGAGGCGGAGCAGGCUGUCUUGCGGUUUAGCAUCCACGAAGUGUCCGAGGCUGCAACAUGCCAACACCCUUUGGUGUAUAGGCAACCGCUGGAAUGGAGAGAGACCUGAGCGGAAGGGGUAUGGGAUCGACUCUGCCAUGGGCAUGUUGUCCGCCGCUGCAGGCGGGGACUACGGUGGGGCCGUGGGGGGUCGAUUUGACGUGGAUUGGAUCGUUAACCAUGGGAUGGGGACCAGAGAAUUUGGGAACUACGUUUGGAUAAUUGAUCCUCAAUUUAGCUUCUUUGUUUGCACAGUUGAAUUAAGCUUACAACAUCUCUCAUAUUGACUGUUGGUUCUCCAGCUAUUGGACUUAUGGGGCUUUCUGGAAGGUGCCUUGUUUUGACUGUUGGUUUACAGGGGGUUUCUUCUGUUGACUUCAUCUUUCCUGAUUUGCUUUGAACAUUGUACUUCCAGGACAUGGUUUUCUGUGCCCUUGGUAACCAUGUGCCCUUGCAGACAUUGACAUGGAUGAGAGCUAAUAUAGUUCGCUAUCUGGAAGACUGGGACUGGCGUUGUUGCCUAUAUAGCCAAGCAGGCUUAUCCUAUCCCCUCACUGUUUGAUGCAUCAUUUAGCUGUUUAUAGGCAGCUUCAUUUCCCCAAAGCAAAAGUUGAAACAAAGGUUUCUUGGUCCACUGCAGGUCCUAACUGAUGAUUUAGGUCCAACAUGAUGCUGAAUAUGUUUGAAGAUCUUCUAAACCCUGCACCUUUCCAAUUCAUCAUAAUUUUUUCAACAUAUAAUUUAUCUUACAGAGACAAAAUUUAAACAUUCAGAUUGAUUUGGUGGAUGUACAAGGUUCGAAGGUUGCUCUGGAGCAUCAAUCUAGACGGGGCAUCCUACAACUGAAAAAACCCAGUGCUCUCUAUUUUGAUCUAUUGAAGAAGCUUCUGUUGUCUUAGCUGCUAGCAUUGAUUGUGGUUUCUUGCUUCCUCCUUCUUGUGGUUGCAGAUUGUUUAGCCCAAGCCAUGCUGGUAGCCAUCAAAAGCUGUCGUAUUUUUGGCUUGUGAUCCUCUCCUGACUUAUAUUUGGGUAAUGUGGAUGGCUUGAUAUGCAAAAAGAGGUUAGGGAUUAACGCUUUAUACCAAAACAAUGGAGAGUUGAAGCUUCUCAACUGGAAGCUUGAACAAACAAAUUGCCAUGGACACUCUACUCCUCAUCAUGUCUUUGAUUAGUGUCAUUUCCACUGAAUAUGAUUCCGAUUUGUUGGUAUAGAAUUGAUUUUCAGAAGUGAUGUUCUUCUGGUGGUUCUCCAGUGGGAUCCGGAUACGAAUCUUCAGUGCAUCUUCUCGGUUUGCUGCGGAACUUCCUAUUUUAAUUUGGCAACUUGUAAAAUAAGUCUGGCUAAAUUUGAUGACUACUGCUGAUUGUAUACUUUUCAACUCAAGUAGCUUGUACAUGUCAGUUUCAUUCAUGCUGGAUAUUCUCAUUCAGGUUCUGGAAUUCAUAGCUUUCCUUAUUUGUGCCCGUA